rnacentral:rRNA from 1 species
CCAAUAGCGUAUAUUAAAGUUGUUGCAGUUAAAAAGCUCGUAGUUGAACCUUAGGCCCGUGCGGGCGGUCCGUCCUCAGGGCGAGCACUACUUCGUCGCGGGUCUCACCUUCUGGCGAGCGUAGAUGCCAUUUAUUUGGUGUCUGCGGGAACCAGGACCUUUACCUUGAAAAAAUUAGAGUGCUCAAAGCGGGCUCCGACGCUUGAAUACAUUAGCAUGGAAUAAUGAAAUAGGACGAUGGUUCUAUUUUGUUGGUUUCCGGGACCGUCGUAAUGAUUAAUAGGGAUAGUUGGGGGCAUUCGUAUUCAAUUGUCAGAGGUGAAAUUCUUGGAUUUAUUGAAGACGAACUACUGCGAAAGCAUUUGCCAAGGAUGUUUUCAUUAAUCAAGAACGAAAGUUGGGGGAUCGAAGACGAUCAGAUACCGUCGUAGUCUCAACCAUAAACUAUGCCGACUGGGAAUCGGGCGAUGUUACUUUUCUGACUCGCUCGGCGCCCCGAG